rnacentral:rRNA from 1 species
UACGACUACAUAUCAGGCAUAUCAAUAAGCGGAGGAAAAGAAACUAACUAGGAUUCCCUCAGUAACGGCGAGUGAAGCGGGAAGAGCUCAAAUUUGAAAUCUUCAAGGUUUUACCUUGACGAAUUGUAGUUUAAAGAAGUGUUUUCUGUUGGAGUUUUGGUAAAAGUUCUUUGGAAUAGGACAUCAUAGAGGGUGAGAAUCCCGUAUUUGACCAUUAUUUCCAGCUUUGUGAUACACUUUCAAAGAGUCGGAUUGUUUGGGAAUGCAGUCCAAAAUGGGUGGUAAAUUUCAUCUAAAGCUAAAUAUUGGCGAGAGACCGAUAGCGAACAAGUACCGUGAGGGAAAGAUGAAAAGAACUUUGAAAAGAGAGUUAAACAGUACGUGAAAUUGUCAAAAGGGAAGCGUUUGACACCAGUGUUGUUUCUACGAAAAUCAAUUUAUGAUGGCUUGAUGCUAAGCUUUGAGACUUUAUCCGCUUGUUGUUUAGUUUUCUUGUCUUUGUGAAUGCACUUUUCGUUGAACAAGUCAACAUCAAUUUCUUUUGCUGUAAAAGGGUAAGAGGAAGGUGGCUUCGGCUUCGGUUGAAGUGUUUAUAGCCUUUUAUCUCUGCAGUCGGAGAGAUUGAGGUCUGCAGCGUAGACUCUUCGGGGUUAGAUACGUCGGUGCUAAGCUAUAGCUUUUCAUAGACAACUUGUUGACUAUGUUUAGUCAUGUGGCUUACCCGCUGGCGCUAUUUUACCUACGCUUAGGAUGUUGACACACGCGCGUGCUCG